rnacentral:rRNA from 1 species
AGUGAACGCUGGCGGUAGGCCUAACACAUGCAAGUCGAACGGCAGCACAGGAGAGCUUGCUCUCUGGGUGGCGAGUGGCGGACGGGUGAGGAAUACAUCGGAAUCUACCUUUUCGUGGGGGAUAACGUAGGGAAACUUACGCUAAUACCGCAUACGACCUACGGGUGAAAGUGGGGGACCGCAAGGCCUCACGCGAUUAGACGAGCCGAUGUCCGAUUAGCUAGUUGGCGGGGGAAUGGCCCACCAAGGCGACGAUCGGUAGCUGGUCUGAGAGGAUGAUCAGCCACACUGGAACUGAGACACGGUCCAGACUCCUACGGGAGGCAGUAGUGGGGAAUAUUGGACAAUGGGCGCAAGCCUGAUCUAGCCAUACCGCGUGGGUGAAGAAGGCCUUCGGGUUGUAAAGCCCUUUUGUUGGGAAAGAAAUCCUGUCGAUUAAUACUCGGUGGGGAUGACGGUACCCAAAGAAUAAGCACCGGCUAACUUCGUGCCAGCCGCCGCCGUAAGAC